UACAGAGGGUGCGAGCGUUAAUCGGAAUGACUGGGCGUAAAGGGCGCGUAGGUGGUUUAUUAAGUGAGUUGUGAAAUUCCUGGGCUUAACCUAGGGACUGCAAAUUAGACUGAUAAGCUGGAGUGCAGCAGAGGGUAGAAGAAUUUCCGGUGUAGCGGUGAAAUGCGUAGAUAUCGGAAGGAAUACCGGUGGCGAAGGCGGCUACCUGGGCUGAGACUGACACUGAGGCGCGAGAGCGUGGGUAGCAAAC
rnacentral:rRNA from 1 species